rnacentral:tRNA from 1 species
GCCGGCGUAGCUCAGCCUGGAAGAGCAAGCGGCUCAUACCCGCUCGGUCUGUGGUUCAAAUCCACACGCCGGUA